rnacentral:rRNA from 1 species
GUGUCAGCAGCCGCGGUAAUACGGAGGGUGCGAGCGUUAAUCGGAAUUACUGGGCGUAAAGCGCAUGCAGGUGGUGGAUUAAGUCAGAUGUGAAAGCCCCCGGCUCAACCGGGGAGGGUCAUUGGAAAUUGGGAGACUUGAGUGCAGAAGAGGAGAGUGGAAUUCCAUGUGUAGCGGUGAAAUGCGUAGAUAUAUGGAGGAACACCAGUGGCGAAGGCGGCUCUCUGGUCUGUAACUGACGCUGAGGCUCGAAAGCGUGGGGAGCAAACAGGAUUAGAAACCCCCGUAGUCC